AGAGUUUGAUCAUGGCUCGGGAUGAACGCUAGCUACAGGCUUAACACAUGCAAGUCGAGGGGAAACGACAUCGAAAGCUUGCUUUUGAUGGGCGUCGACCGGCGCACGGGUGAGUAACGCGUAUCCAACCUGCCCAUCACUUGGGGAUAACCUUGCGAAAGUAAGACUAAUACCCAAUGACGUCUCUAGAAGACAUCUGAAAGAGAUUAAAGAUUUAUCGGUGAUGGAUGGGGAUGCGUCUGAUUAGCUUGGUUGGCGGGGUAACGGCCACCAAGGCGACGAUCAGUAGGGGUUCUGAGAGGAAGGUCCCCCANAUUGGAACUGAGACACGGUCCAAACUCCUACGGGAGGCA
rnacentral:rRNA from 1 species